rnacentral:rRNA from 1 species
UACAGAGGGCUCAAGCGUUGUUCGGAUUCAUUGGGCGUAAAGGGUGCGUAGGCGGUCGGGUAAGUCUGACGUGAAAUCUUCAAGCUCAACUUGGAAACUGCGUCGGAUACUAUUCGGCUCGAGGAAUGGAGGGGAGACUGGAAUUCUCGGUGUAGCAGUGAAAUGCGUAGAUAUCGAGAGGAACACCAGUGGCGAAGGCGAGUCGCUGGACAUUUCCUGACGCUGAGGCACGAAAGCCAGGGGAGCAAACGGG